AUUGAACGCUGGCGGCAGGCCUAACACAUGCAAGUCGAGCGGAUGAAGGGAGCUUGCUCCUGGAUUCAGCGGCGGACGGGUGAGUAAUGCCUAGGAAUCUGCCUGGUAGUGGGGGAUAACGUCCGGAGACGGGCGCUAAUACCGCAUACGACCUGAGGGAGAAAGUGGGGGGUCUUCGGAACUCACGCUAUCAGAUGAGCCUAGGUCGGAUUAGCUAGUUGGUGGGGUAAAGGCCUACCAAGGCGACGAUCCGUAACUGGUCUGAGAGGAUGAGCAGUCACACUGGAACUGAGACACGGUCCAGACUCCUACGGGAGGCAGCAGUGGGGAAUAUUGGACAAUGGGCGAAAGCCUGAUCCAGCCAUGCCGCGUGUGUGAAGAAGGUCUUCGGAUUGGAAAGCACUUUAAGUUGGGAGGAAGGGCAGUAAGUUAAUACCUUGCUGUUUUGACGUUACCAACAGAAUAAGCACCGGCUAACUUCGUG
rnacentral:rRNA from 1 species